GAAGAAGUUUUUAAUUAGGGUUUCAUGAUAGUGAAUUAGGGUUUAAUUAAAGUAAAGUAAAUUUAAUUGUAAUAGAGAGGGUUUAAUUAAGGCCAAAGACUUUUAACAUUGCCACAUCAAUUGGGUUGAUCUUGCCACGAAUUUUGUUUUUAGCGUUUUUAACAUCAUCGUAAACAACCAACUUGAACCAUUUUUACAAAAUAUGGGACAAUUAUGAACAUCUCAAAAAAGGUAUGACCACUUUGAACAAACAUAAG
rnacentral:lncRNA from 1 species